UGCAUUCGCUACUGUAAGUCGCUCUGGAUAAGAGUGUCUGCUAAAUGACCAAAA
rfam:Salmo salar isolate Sally breed double haploid chromosome ssa25, whole genome shotgun sequence.